rnacentral:tRNA from 1 species
GCCACGGUGGUCUAGCGGUUAGAACGCUGGCCUUGUAAUCCUGGGGUCCCGGGUUCAAUUCCCGGCUGUGCCC